GGUAGGGGUAGAGCUGGUAGAGGAGUUCAUGGCCAAAGAAGACAACAACUUUCAAAUGAAAUCAGAGCAAAUUUAGUUCAUCAUGUCAUCAACCAUGGGCUGACAAUGCGAGAGGCUGGACAGAGAGUGCAGCCCAACUUGAGCCGUUUUACUGUCGCCUGUGUCAUCCGGACACUUAGACUGGAGUACAGGACUGAGAGACGCAACCAUGGUAGAGGAAGGGGCCAAAUGUUCACCGGGGUACAGGAAGCUAACAUUGUAAACUUGGUUUUGGAAAAUAGUGAAAUCAGAUUAUGAGAAAUUCAAAGCCACAUCAUCCAAGACAACACCAUAUUCAACAACAUUCAACGAGUCAGUCUGUCCACAUUGGAUCACAUUCUCAAGCGAAACCAAAUCAGAAUGAAACAACUUUAUAAGGUGCCGUUUGAGAGAAACUCUCAAAGAAACAAAGAGGUCAGACGAGCAUAUGUGGAUGGAGUACUGGAAAUGGAUGCUCAUGCAAUCCCACAUGAGUUCAUCUUUAUAGAUGAGGCUGGGUUCAACCUAGCAAAGACCAUAAGAAGGGGGUGAAACGUCAUUGGCCACAGAGCCAUUAUAGAUGUUCCUUGCCAACGUGGUGGGAACAUCACAAUGUGCGCUGCCAUCUCCAAUACGCAUGGUGUCCUCCACCGUCAUGCCAACCUUGGACCAUACAACACAGCCUAUAUUCUCACAUUUCUGGACAGACUCCACAACAUUCUCAUACCACCAGAGCGUAUGAAUGAUGCAGAUCAUCAAAGAACCCGGUACGUUGUAGUUUGGGACAACGUGAGCUUUCAUCGUUCAGCCCCAGUCCAAAACUGGUUUACUGACCACCCACCAUUUCUCGUGCAAUACCUCCCACCAUACUCACCAUUUCUGAACCCCAUAGAAGAGUUAUUUUCGGCACAGUGGUGGAAGGUAUAUGACCGGUAGCCCUUUAUGCGCAUGUGAUGAGAUGGAUGUGGGUGCGAUUCAGGGAUGGAUAAGGCACUCAAGGCGCUUCUUCCAUUGAUGUCUGGCAAGGGAAGAUAUUGCCUGUGAUGUGGACUGGCAAGGGAAGAUAUUGCCUGUGAUGUGGACGAGGCGUUGUGGCCAGAACCAGCUGUGUGGCAAGAUGCUGCCUGUGAUGUGGAUGAGGCGUUGUGGCCAGACCCAGCUGUGAGACAAGAUGCUGCCUGUGAUGUGGACGAGGCGUUGUGGCCAGACCCAGCUGUGCAGCAAGAUGCUGCCUGUGAUGUGGACGAGGCGUUGUGGCCAGACCCAGCUGUGCGGCAAGAUGCUGCCUAAUUAUUUUUCUUGCCUCUUUUUUUUAUAUAUAUUUUUUCUGCACAUUUUUUUCUGCAAUUUUCUUUUUCAGUUUACUGUUUUUUUUGUGAGCAUAUUUUUGUUCAGUCCAAUGUAAAUAUAUCUGCUGUGAAUAUGUUGCACUGACUUGUUUGGUGAAAAAUAAAAUAUAUAAUGUUUCAACAGCAUGUGUGUGUAUCUGUAGAUAUUUCGGUGCAUCUGAAGAAUUUUCUACAAUUUGAACUAUUUUAGUAUUAUGGCAAAGUUGUCACGCCUUGGUCAUUGUAUCUUGUGUUUUUGUUAUAUGUUUGGGUAGGCCAGGGUGUGACAUGGGUUUAUAUGUUGUAUUUCGUAUUGGGGUUUGUAUUAAUUGGGAGUGUGUAUUAUUAGGGGUGUGUCUAGUUAGGCUUGGCUGCCUGAGGCGAUUCCUAAUUGGAGUCAGCUGAUUCUCGUUGUCUCGGAUUGGGAACCGUAUUUAGGCAGCCUGAGUGCGCGUUGUAUUUCGUGGGUGAUUGUACCUGUCUCUGUGUUAGUCACCAGAUAGGCUGUAAUUAGUUUCACUCGUUUGUUGUUUUCUUCUUCAGUUAUUUCAUGUACCGCAUUUUCUUCAUUAAAAGUCAUGAGUAACCUA